GUCGGAAGAUGUUAUUGAUUGUAGAGGAGAGAAAUCUAUGCAUCUAUGUAUAUACCUGUGUACAUCAUGCCCUUUUAGAACUGAACAUGGAGAUGCCUUUUUGCCACCCUAAGCUCUGAUAGACUUCAAGAAGAUUUAUACCAGCUGAAAAAAAUAUAACCUUAAAGUGAUUCAAGGUGAUUUCCAAAUCUAUAAAGGAUAUACGUAGAAGAUAUGGUUCUGUGGUUCUUCUCUGGGACAUAUAUUCAUGCUUUGUAACAAGAAACUGUUACAAAUGUUUUCAUAAUACUGCACAAUGAGUGCUUUGUGGAUUUCACCAUGGGGGUAUUUCUAGAUUAAAACAUUUUGCAGA